rnacentral:lncRNA from 1 species
UGCCCAACAAUGAUCGUACCGUUGGCUGUGUCAUGGUUCUGAACCCCUCUGGACCAUAGUUCAGUUUAUUACUAGGCCGGACCAACUCUGCUAAUCAUCACAUUAUUAGCACUUUUAAUACUUUAAGUGGAUUUCGCUGAUGAUUCGUCCGUACAUGAGUUUACAUUUAAAACAACAACUUUCACUCCCAACAGAGUGUUUUUAGAUGACACGGCUUCUUUUACUCUCAGUGAGACUCUGACUUCUUCUCCCACAAAUUAAAAAUGUGCACAUUUAUUUAAAGAGUGGCGUGAAGGCGAGAGCUCGCACCUGACAGAUUAAAGUAUUACAGACCCGAGGCUGAAAACGUGGCCUUCGGGUCACCAGACUGUGGAUUGGGAAAAGACGUGUGCUGUGUGUCUGCCAGUCGGCAUUAAUCAAAUCCUUUCUGACUCAGUGUGAAUGCUUUCAUAACAUGGACGAGUGGUUGUGAACACAUUCCUCAACAACACUUUUCUCUCAUUUCCAACAUCAUGGCGAGCUGGUGGACGACUGAAGACAUGUUGGACAGCCUGGACCUGGAGGAAAACUCCAUCGUGUCGAGGGUUAUUCAGGCAGUCGGGCUGUUUGGAGAUAUUCUUUCGUUAGAGGACACGAUGGAGCCGAUGUUCUCUGAAGGCAAAAGAGAGGAGGAGGCUGAAAACACAGAAGGGAACAAAUCAGCCGAGGAGAGACGAGAGGCAGGCAACACAAAGGUAGAAGAAGAAACAAUGGAGGAAGACGGAAAGCAAGAGGACGAGGAGCUGCGACAAGGAGAAGACGUAGACGAAGUGCAGAAAGAAGGUACGAGUGAGGCAGAUGUUGAAGUUGAGAAAACAAGGACAAAAGAGGAAGUGGAGGAUGAAGAGGAGGAGACUGAAGGUGAGAAAGAGGAAAAGGCAGAUGUGGAGGAGGAGGACGAGCAAGGAGAGGUGAAGAUAGGAGAAGAGAAGGUGGAGGAAGAGGAGGAAGAGCAGACUCAGAGAGAGAAAGAACAAAGGGAGGAGGACAAGACUGAGGAAGAGGAGAAGGCGACUGAGAGACGGGAUGAAGAAGAGAAGGAGAAUAAAGAACAAAUGAACAAGGAGGAAGCAGAUGUGGUGGGGAAAGAAGAGAAGGAGCUUAUAACAGAUGGAAGUGAUGAUGAAGAAAAGGAGGAAGAGGACGACUCUGAGAAAGAAGCAAAGGAUGGAGAGAGAGAUGAAGAGCUGAAGACUCAAGAAGAAGAAGAAGAAGACAAGGAGGUUAUAGAGAAGAGUCAUGAGGAAGAGGAGAUGGAAGACAGGAAAGAACAAUCAGAGGUGAAGGAAGAAGAAGAAGAAAAGGAGACUGUGGGAAAGAAAAGAGAGGAUGAAAGAAAAGAGAAAGAAAAGGAGGAGGAAGAGGAAGAGGUAGAUGAAGAAUGUCAUGUUGAAAAAGAAGAAAAGGAGGCCAAUAAAGAAGAACGAGAACAAUGGAGUGGUGGAGAAGAAGAAAAGAUGGAGGCACACCAAGAAAAGAUGGAGGAAGAAAAAGAAGAGAUGGCGAACAAAGAAGAAAAGGUGGAGGAAGAUAAAGGAAAGAUAGAGGACAAAUUAGAGGAAAAAGAAAAGAUGGAGGAAAGAGAAGAAAAGGUGGAGGACAAAGAAGAAAAGAUGGAGGAAAGAGAAAAAAAGAUGGAGGACCAAUUAGAGGGAAAAGAAAAGAUGGAGGAAGAAAAAGAAAAGGUGGAGGACAAAUUAGAGGAAAAAGAAAAGAUGGAGAAGACUGAGGAAAAGAUGGAGGAAGAAAAAGAAAAGGUGGAGGACAAUUUAGAGAAAAAAGAAAAGAUGGAGGAAGAAAAAGAAGAGAUGGUGGGCAAAUUAGAGGAAAAAGAAAAGAUGGAGGAGACCGAGGAAAAGAUGGAGGAAGAAAAAGAAAAGGUGGAGGACAAUUUAGAGAAAAAAGAAAAGAUGGAAGAAGAAAAAGAAGAGAUGGUGGGCAAAGAAGAAAAGGUGGAGGAAGAUAAAGGAAAGAUGGAGGACAAAUCAGAGGAAAAAGAAAAGAUGGAGGAAAGAGAAGAAAAGGUGGAGGACAAAGAAGAAAAGAUGGAGGAAAGAGAAAAAAAGAUGGAGGACAAAUUAGAGGAAAAAGAAAAGAUGGAGAAGACUGAGGAAAAUAUAGAGGAAGAAAAGGAAAAGGUGGAGGAAGAUAAAGUAAAGAUGGAGGACAAAGAAGAAAAGAGGGAGGAAGAUAAAGGAAAGAAAGACGAAAAAGAAAAGAUGGAGGAGAUUGAAGAAAAGGAGUCAGCGACCAAAGAACAAAAGAAUGACAAUGAAGAAAAGAUGGAGGACAAAGAAGAAAAGGAGGGACAGAAAGACGAACAAAAACAGACUGACAGAGAAGAAGAAGAUGAAGAAGAAGAAGAAGAAGUGGAGGCCUCGGCAGACAGAAAAGAACAUGCAGAAGAAGAAACGUGUGGAUCGAACGAGGAGCUGAUAAAUCAUCUCAUCCAGUCAGAGUCCCAGAGAUCAGCUCCUUCAGCAGGUCUGCAGGAGUCUGAACUGUGUGAAGCACCGAGUCACAACGAGGCAGAAACAGGAAGUGAAGCGCUCCGAGUCGUCACAGAAGAAGAGAAAGACUCAGGCGCUGCCAACAAACACAACAAGGACGUUUCUCUCACAUCACCGAGCAGCGACAAAGAGCCGGAGGCAGCUUCAGCCCGGACUGCUGCUCCAACAGACACAGAGCUGCAGACUGUGGACGCUCAGCUCCUUCUGACGGAUCACACACAGGUGGAGGUUCAGAGUCUGCAGGUGGAGACCUCGCUGACAUCACUUCCUGCUCCAGAUCUACAAGCCUCAGGCUGCAGGUCGGAGGAGAAAGCGACGUUGAUGGAUGAAGCUGCUCAGUCGCCGUUAACGGCCGGACCAGAGAGCGACGAGCCGGGUCCGACCCAGAACUCAACCGGCGAAGCGAACGAGGACGAAGGAGGCAAAGAGGAGGGAGGUGAAAACUCUCACAAGAUGAACGGCAAGGCGGAGGCAGCAGACGACAAGAAGAAGGACGGCAAUCAAUCAGCCAAGUACAAAACUGUGUCCUACAGGAAGAUCCGCAGAGGAAACACCAGGCUGAGGAUUGACGAGUUUGAGUCCAUGAUGAACUCGUGAUUAAGCACAAAAUAGAAAAUGGAGUAGCUUGCAGAUCACAUUAACAUGGUAACAUAUAGAGAAACAUAGUGGAACCAGGAUAGAGCCUUGUGGGACACCAUACGUCGUGAUGAGUAUCGAUGUUUCAUGUAUCCUCUAGAAAAUAAACACAAUGAUUUUUUUUGACUGAUAUAUUUUCUAGUUAAUUUAACUUCACAGGCUGAUAAUCACCAUUAUGUAUAUUUAUUAUUGAAUUUCAUGAUAUUAAAGGAACCUCAUGCA